UGGGGAAUCUUCCGCAAUGGGCGAAAGCCUGACGGAGCAACGCCGCGUGAGUGAAGACGGCCUUCGGGUUGUAAAACUCUGUGAUUCGGGACGAAAGAUAAGUAGACGAAUAAUAUGCAUAAGUGACGGUACCGAAAAAGCAAGCCACGGCUAACUACGUGCCAGCAGCCGCGGUAAUACGUAGGUGGCAAGCGUUGUCCGGAAUUAUUGGGCGUAAAGCGCGCGCAGGCGGCUACUUAAGUCCAUCUUAAAAGUGCGGGGCUUAACCCCGUGAUGGGAUGGAAACUGAGAAGCUGGAGUGUCGGAGAGGAAAGUGGAAUUCCUAGUGUAGCGGUGAAAUGCGUAGAGAUUAGGAAGAACACCGGUGGCGAAGGCGACUUUCUGGACGACAACUGACGCUUAGGCGCGAAAGCGUGGGGAGCAAACAGG
rnacentral:rRNA from 1 species